UUUAAGAGCCAUACCAUUCUUUUCUGUUUCCUUUUUGUUCCACAUAAGGGGUUCUAAUGACUUAUUUUUGCUCUAAUCAGGGGAGCCCCUCAGCAGCUCCCCUGGUCCUCUUUCUGCCUAAGUGGCUCCUCAGCCAACUCCUCUAAAACCAUGAGUUAAUACAUGCCUGUGGUUUUUCCUAGCUGCUUUACAAAUACCUUCAGCACUAUGAUCUCACAAUACUUCUGGAAAAGCUUCUAGCAGCACCAUUUCGCAUGGAAUUAACACAAGUUUUCUAAAGCUUUCUGAUUAUUCAUGUACCUCAUGUUUAAGAGUUAUGGAGAAAGCUUUACAGUCAGGUGUACCAAGCCUUGGCACAACAACCAGGGAUAAACAACCUGCAGCUAUUCCCCAGCUUUUCUACUCAGCAGACCACACUCUGCAUUCCCAGAAGUUAUGCCAAGCAGAGGCAAGUACACAUGCUUACACUCACCAGCUAUGCUCCACUAGCCAUGCAAAGGAAGCAGCACAACUCAGUGCUGCUAUGCAGGCAGUACCAUUCUUCUGGAUACACACUUCUGCAAUACACAGAGUAGCAGUAGAUUAUAGCACUAAAGUAUCUUGACUUGUACACUAUUUAGUCUCUUGGAUUUUAAGCAGGAAUCUACUAAGAUCUUACAGAGACAGAGUACGUGGUUGGCUUGGUUGACGAAUGCCAGUCCAUCCUGAUUGAGAAAAAAAUCUAUUGAAGACUUAUCAAAAGAGAUUCAGCAAAUUCAAUUAAAAAUUAACUUCACAACAGAAGCCACAAGACAUACGGACACGCUCCCUACUGCCAGGACUAACAGGCACUGUGUUUCAAGUUUAACUUCAGUAGAGACUGUACUCUUUCAGCUUCAGUGAACUCCAGUGGGAAACAGAAGCCCUGUGCAACAGAUUGGAGAUGCCACAACCAAGCCCAUAUACUUGUAUACGUGUUGUUAACACUUUACUUUGAAAGUCUGAGCUGGGAUCGAUUGGUUCCAAGAAAAAGGAAGAUUAACUGUACCCUGGAAGGUUCUUCUAUUCCUCCAGAAAGGGCGACAGCAGCAGGUACAGCUUAAGAGUAACACAGGAUUACUCUUGGCCAAAGCUCCCAAACGGGUUAAGACCCAGCAUGGAGAAAGGACUGUUCAGCCAACUUCUGUGCCCACCUGCCUGGCAGCAAACCUGCACUCCGCGUGCACACAGAACGGAUCCUUCCUUCCACAGAAAAGGAAACCUCUGAAUGUUUAAUCUUUAUUUCGCAUCAUGCCCUAAUUUUAACAGUUUCUGUACGGUGGCUCAGUGAGGUCCACCAUCCUCAGUGAGGUCCACAGUGAGAACCCUGCAUGCAUUGGCAGAAACACAUUCCUCAAGGUACUUAUAAGAAAAGGAUACUACUAAAGGUUCCUUUGUUUUUAUCCUCCCCAAACUAUUUACUCUGGUGAGCUGCUGAAGGAUUACAGCUGCAGGGCAGCUAGAGAGACUCAAAGGUUAGCAAAAAUGGAGUGAGGUCUUAUGUGGGAGAAAAAGCUACUGAGCUGGGCAAGUAAUCUCAGCAGGUCAAGGAAAGUACUGACCUUCUUUUCAAAUACCAGAGACAUGAGGAAUCUGAGACAAAGUUUGGUGGGUUUUAUUUGUUUUCAGUGAGUUAAGAUAAAGGCUCUUCUUGUCCUGGGUUAUACCGGAGAUUUCAGAAAAGCAGCUUCGUACUUUGCUGUGGCUUUGUGGAAAAUUGGUAGGGCCAAUGGGGGCUUGCACUGCUGAUCAGCUUUCAGCUGCUCUGAUACAUCACUUGGUCUAAUACAUUUCCAUACACACAAUAAAGAGCUUUCAAGGUAUCCAGGAAUUACCACUUGAACAAAUAGGCCUCAGAGCCAGAGGCUGAGUACUGGGAAGGCAGCAGCAGUUGAAUCAGCUCAAGCACAGAAUGAAAUUUGGCUGCUGUCCCUUUCACAGCUGCAUGACCUCUCCUGCUCAGCCCUCCAGCAAAGAGCCUGGGAAUGGGGAGACAUAUUUGAGCAGAACACAAUAGGAAUAUUGUUGCAGCUCCCACGGGGCACCAGCAUUGUAGAAUAUGCUGUUGCACAGUUGGAACAGACUACUGCUGGCCACUCAAUCUGUUACCGUGCAUUUUUCUUUGAAAGAUUUUAGGCUAAUAGCUAGCAAUAAAGACAGAUUUUGGAGUUAAGAUGCAGCAGCUUUCACAUUCAGUGAAAUACUCAAAUGAGAGUUCACAUCAAUGUUUUUAUCAUCAUGGUGCAGAAAUACAAGUGAAAGCUGAUGUUAUUAACAAAACAGCAAACUUUCAAGAGCCUUCUUCAGCAAGAAGAAUAGAAGCUUAAGCUCUUUAGUUAUCUCAGGAAUCCUAAGACCAUAUAUCAUUAAUUAUACCAAAUAGUUUCUCACGUCUUUCAAUCUCAGAUUGCAGUAUAUGGAAGAAGGUAUGUCUGGGGUAGCUAUGGAAGUGAUCAUUCCCAGAGAACUUCCAUCUGCAGCCCAUUACCUUUGGCAGAGGAUCUGUCAUAUAACCAGAUGGGAUGCUCACAUUUUUUUUUACUGCCAGGUGACACAAUGGGUAACAACCUAAUUUUAAAAAUAUUUUUUACAGCAGUCGUUAUCCUAACCUGCCAGUUCCCUGAUCCUCCAAGCAGGAUUUCAAAUAAGUGAAGAAGCUCCCUGCUCUUUCUUCAAUACUUUGGCGAAAAUAGCAUUUCACAGUCACGCUCUGCCUUUACAUGAAUGACACCAUUGCUUCCAGAAGGAUCUAGAACCAUCUAGCAGACACAACUAAUCAUAAAAAUACCGAGAUAACAAAGAGAAUCAGUGCUAUUAGUCUCAACAAAUUAAUAUGAGCAUAAAACGAGACUGAUUUACUUAUGUAGCAAGAGGAACUGUCUUUUAGACCAGAAAUGGAUUAAGCAUUCAGAAAGCUGUUUUUACAAGAACGAUUAGUAGUGGUAUUUUCUUCCUUACCACUUAGAAUACAUACUGCCUGCUGGAGACUUGAAAUAAUGUCAACUUUGAAGGCCACACAUGAGAUAGACUAUGAUCCACAAAACACUGUAAAAAGAGUCUCCAGACUGAAUAUCCAGGUUUUUUGUUUGUUUGUUUGUUUGUUUGCCAUAUAGUUGGUAAUUGAUAAAUUCCACUGUCACUGGUGAGAAUGGAUCCUGGUUAGAACAGCAGUCUGAUUUAUGAGCAUUCAGCACUGUCAAGUAGGAAGCUCACCAGACACAAAAGUCCAGUUCCACAGAAGCAGAAGUGCAGAACAUUUCAGAAGUCUAAUUCCAUUUGUCCAGUCUGUAAGAAUAACCAGAUUUUCUAAACUGAUCAUGGUUUUUUUUUUCAUUGACACCCAGUAGUCCUAUCAUGCCUAAAAAUAAAGGCUGUCAUUUUAGGUGUUUGCAUCUAGAUGGUUUCUUCCAUGUUUAUGGAAAUUCUGAUCACUGAAGAGAUAAUCUAGAGCUCACACCAUAACAAAAAAGACAACAUAAGCACCUCUAUUUUUACUAUGUAAAACUCCUCUGCUGCUCCAGUGCACACAGCAUUACUGGUCCAUGCUUGGAACGAGAUGUUAUGAUACGCAAUACUAUGGGCAUGCACUGAAAUGAGUAAAUUCAUCACUCAUGUUUUACAUAAACAGCUGCUUAAAAUCCAUUUCACAGAACCCAGGAUAACAUCCCACAUAUUUCUGACAAAAAGCCCGUAAUACAGAAACAACUUAUUAAAAUACAGGACUUACUUUUUGUAUGUUGGUUCUUAAACUGCUUACACACACUGGUGCAAUUGGAACGAGAGAGAAGGAUGGGGACAGGAAUGGCUCUUCUACUUACUUGCUUUGCAUGAACAACGAUCCACAUAGAUCCUGGCAAAAGAGUUAACUUCACAAUCAUGGGUGGCUCAGCUAUGUAGUACCUAUUGAACUUGUAUCCCUCAGGAAAGGUAUUGAAUCUCCAUCCAGGAAUUUGGCACAUGGUGGAGCAGUGCUGUUUCAAGAUUCAUUUACAAGGGGAAUGUUGUAGAGUUUGGCUUCUCUAGUUCUUUUCCACAGACUUCUUCCUGGAGCUAUUCCAAGCUUGGCCACAGGCAUGACCAAGGGUAUGCAGCUCACAAGAGUACAAAUUGUUGCAGGUCUUCAAGGUGACAGCAAAGCUGGCGCAGACUUGAAUGUGCCUCUGCACCUUAACAAAGCAGCCAUCAAGACCUGAUUCUGUCUUCCUUGGCACAAUGGCUUCCGGAAAUGCAGUGGAACAUGGAUUCAUACAGAUGUUCCUGUACUUGUACAGGUUGAUCAGCACCAUUACAAAACAAGAGAUGGACACAGAGGAAAAGCAGGAACCAACUCAUACUUCACAACAUGGCUCUAAAGCCACAUAAACUAGCACAGAGCAGAGCUCUUUAAACUCUGUGCAUAAACUGGUGCAUAACCAAACCAGCCUGAGAUGACAAGGACAUGAGGACCACUGCAGAACAGCUCUGUUCCAGGAGCACAGCAACAGAAUGGGUCUGAAGUCAUCCUCGUGCCCCUCCAGUUACUGGCUGGAGAAGAACAGUUCCAUUUUCAGAAUGAGGUCCCAUCAUACUGUCAGAGAGCUGGGCUGAAAACUGCUGAGAAAUAUGAAGGAACUGUUCCUCAAAUACAGCUGUGACAGAAUUGAGGCGAGGUGUGCUCCCAGCCACACAAGACUGGUUCACUGCCAUACAGUGCUUCUCAGCAGCACUGCAGCAUACUGAUACGUUAACAUGAGAUACAGAAAAACAAGAAAACUGGUGAUGGCCAUUUAUUCCAUGAUUUCAAGCAUGUUAAAGUACCCUUAACUCUUUCUAAAACAGAGCUGAACCAAUGUUCAAAAAAAACUUAGAAAACCAGUUACUGGGGGGGGGGGGGGGAGGGGAAUGAAAUGCAGCUCACAGGUGAUGCAAUUUAUCAGUUAAACAUCAGGACACAAGUGAAAAAGCACAGAGAAACUGCACAGCUGCAUUUAAUUGUAGUGUUUUUGAAAGUCACUCACCUAAACCAAAGAAGUGAAUAUUGCAAGGGGCUUGCCGUAUUUCUGUUACAAUGCCCUGAAGAAACAGAGGGCUCUACCAGCACGCACCUAAUUGGGAGCUGACUGGUCUCCACUUAGAUACUCUACUGCAAAAAUGGGAUCUCAGCUGAUUUAGUAGAACUUGGCUCCAUCAUCUCCUUUGAAUUAAAGGAAUACUGCUGAGUCACAUAGCUGUAACAGUCUCUAAUCAACUAGGAUCUUCUACCAGCACAAAUGUCAGAAGCACUUACACCUCAAUUCUUGCCCAUACAUCCUCCAAGGACAUUCAAGAGCUAAUAGAAUCAUAGGAUGGUUUGGGUUGGAAGGGACCUCUAAGACCACCUGGUUCCAACCCCCUGCUAUAGGCAGGGACACCUCCCUCCAGCCCAGGUUGCUCACAGCCCCAUCCAGCCU